GCCUUCGUGGUGUAGUGGUCAGCACGCUCGAGACGUAAUCGAGAGACCCGUGGUUCAAUUCCUGGCGAAGGCG
rnacentral:tRNA from 1 species